CCUAAGGUAGCGAAAUUCCUUGUCGGGUAAGUUCCGACCUGCACGAAUGGCGUAAUGAUGGCCAGGCUGUCUCCACCCGAGACUCAGUGAAAUUGAACUCGCUGUGAAGAUGCAGUGUACCCGCGGCAAGACGGAAAGACCCCGUGAACCUUUACUAUAGCUUGACACUGAACAUUGAGCCUUGAUGUGUAGGAUAGGUGGGAGGCUUUGAAGUGUGGACGCCAGUCUGCAUGGAGCCGGCCUUGAAAUACCACCCUUUAAUGUUUGAUGUUCUAACGUUGGCCCCUGAUCGGGGUUGCGGACAGUGUCUGGUGGGUAGUUUGACUGGGGCGGUCUCCUCCUAAAGAGUAACGGAGGAGCACGAAGGUUGGCUAAUCCUGGUCGGACAUCAGGAGGUUAGUGCAAUGGCAUAAGCCAGCUUGACUGCGAGCGUGACGGCGCGAGCAGGUGCGAAAGCAGGUCAUAGUGAUCCGGUGGUUCUGAAUGGAAGGGCCAUCGCUCAACGGAUAAAAGGUACUCCGGGGAUAACAGGCUGAUACCGCCCAAGAGUUCAUAUCGACGGCGGUGUUUGGCACCUCGAUGUCGGCUCAUCACAUCCUGGGGCUGAAGUAGGUCCCAAGGGUAUGGCUGUUCGCCAUUUAAAGUGGUACGCGAGCUGGGUUUAGAACGUCGUGAGACAGUUCGGUCCCUAUCUGCCGUGGGCGCUGGAGAACUGAGGGGGGCUGCUCCUAGUACGAGAGGACCGGAGUGGACGCAUCACUGGUGUUCGGGUUGUCAUGCCAAUGGCACUGCCCGGUAGCUAAAUGCGGAAGAGAUAAGUGCUGAAAGCAUCUAAGCACGAAACUUGCCCCGAGAUGAGUUCUCCCUGAGACUUAGAGUCUCCUGAAGGAACGUUGAAGACGACGACGUUGAUAGGCCGGGUGUGUAAGCGCAGCGAUGCGUUGAGCUAACCGGUACUAAUGAACCGUGAGGCUUAACCUU
rnacentral:rRNA from 1 species